UGGGGAAUAUUGCACAAUGGGCGCAAGCCUGAUGCAGCCAUGCCGCGUGUGUGAAGAAGGCCUUCGGGUUGUAAAGCACUUUCAGCGGGGAGGAAGGCGGUGAGGUUAAUAACCUCAUCGAUUGACGUUACCCGCAGAAGAAGCACCGGCUAACUCCGUGCCAGCAGCCGCGGUAAUACGGAGGGUGCAAGCGUUAAUCGGAAUUACUGGGCGUAAAGCGCACGCAGGCGGUCUGUCAAGUCGGAUGUGAAAUCCCCGGGCUAAACCUGGGAACUGCAUUCGAAACUGGCAGGUUAGAGUCUUGUAGAGGGGGGUAGAAUUCCAGGUGUAGCGGUGAAAUGCGUAGAGAUCUGGAGGAAUACCGGUGGAGAAGGCGGCCCCCUGGACAAAGACUGACGCUCAGGUGCGAAAGCGUGGGGAGCAAACAGG
rnacentral:rRNA from 1 species